GAUGAACGCUGGCGGCGUGCCUAAUACAUGCAAGUCGAGCGAACAGACGAGGAGCUUGCUCCUCUGACGUUAGCGGCGGACGGGUGAGUAACACGUGGAUAACCUACCUAUAAGACUGGGAUAACUUCGGGAAACCGGAGCUAAUACCGGAUAACAUGUUGAACCGCAUGGUUCAACAGUGAAAGACGGUCUUUCUGUCACUUAUAGAUGGAUCCGCGCCGCAUUAGCUAGUUGGUAAGGUAACGGCUUACCAAGGCAACGAUGCGUAGCCGACCUGAGAGGGUGAUCGGCCACACUGGAACAGAGACACGGUCCAGACUCCUACGGGAGGCAGCAGUAGGGAAUCUUACGCAAUGGGCGAAAGCCUGACGGAGCAACGCCGCGUGAGUGAAGAAGGUCUUCGGAUCGUAAAACUCUGUUAUUAGGGAAGAACAAAUGUGUAAGUAACUAUGCACGUCUUGACGGUACCUAAUCAGAAAGCCACGGCUAACUACGUG
rnacentral:rRNA from 1 species